rnacentral:rRNA from 1 species
CCCGCUGAACUUAAGCAUAUCAAUAAGCGGAGGAAAAGAAACUAACAAGGAUUCCCCUAGUAACUGCGAGUGAAGCGGGAAAAGCUCAAAUUUAAAAUCUGAGGGUCUUACGGCCUUCCGAGUUGUAAUCUAGAGAAGUGCUAUCCGCGCUGGACCGUGUACAAGUCUCCUGGAACGGAGCGUCAUAGAGGGUGAGAAUCCCGUCUUUGACACGGACUACCAGGGCUUUUGUGAUGCGCUCUCAAAGAGUCGAGUUGUUUGGGAAUGCAGCUCUAAAUGGGUGGUAAAUUCCAUCUAAAGCUAAAUAUUGGCGAGAGACCGAUAGCGAACAAGUACCGUGAGGGAAAGAUGAAAAGAACUUUGGAAAGAGAGUUAAACAGUACGUGAAAUUGUUGAAAGGGAAACGCUUGAAGUCAGUCGCGUUGGCCAGGAAUCAACCUUGCUUUUGCUUGGCGUACUUUCUGGUUAACGGGUCAGCAUCAAUUUUGAUCGGUGGAUAAAGAUCAGGGGAAUGUGGCAUCUUCGGAUGUGUUAUAGCCUCUGGUCGCAUACAUCGGUUGGGAUUGAGGAACUCAGCAUGCCGCAAGGCCGGGUUUUUACCACGUACGUGCUUAGGAUGCUGGCAUAAUGGCUUUAAUCGACCCGUCUUGAAACACGG